rnacentral:rRNA from 1 species
AUUGAACGCAGGCGGCAUGCCUUACACAUGCAAGUCGAACGGUAGAGUAGCAAUACUUGAGAGUGGCGAACGGGUGAGUAAUGCAUCGGAACAUGCCCAGUCGUGGGGGAUAACGUAGCGAAAGUUACGCUAAUACCGCAUACGAUCUAUGGAUGAAAGCGGGGGACUCGCAAGAGCCCCGCGCGAUUGGAGUGGCCGAUGUCAGAUUAGGUAGUUGGUGGGGUAAAAGCCCACCAAGCCAACGAUCUGUAGCUGGUCUGAGAGGACGACCACCCACACUGGGACUGAGACACGGCCCAGACUCCUACGGGAGGCAGCAGUGGGGAAUUUUGGACAAUGGACGAAAGUCUGAUCCAGCAAUGCCGCGUGCAGGACGAAGGCCUUCGGGUUGUAAACUGCUUUUGUGCGGAGCGAAAAGCUUUGGAUUAAUACUCCGAGGUCAUGACGGUACCGUAAGAAUAAGCACCGGCUAACUACGUGCCAGCCGCCGCCGUAA